rnacentral:lncRNA from 1 species
GUAUGCACAUAUAAAAAAGUUCACUCUGAAAGUAUGAGUUCACUCGUUUUUCCCAGCUCUCUGGGUCAUUGACUGGGACAUUUGUUGUCCCAAAAGUAACUGGCAGCAUGGCGUACCUGCAGUGCACCUUACAAUAUUAAAGCAAGGUUUUUAUUCUAAAACAGAAUAAAACUGUUCAAUAAAAAAAAAGUUCAUUGAACUGCAUGCU